UGGCAGUUAACUGUUUGAGGAACAGAUCCAGUUCUAUAGCAAAUAAAGUUAAGUGAAUGAAGAGAUCUAAAAAGCUAUCCUAAAAAGAGGAUAUCUUCAUAUCGUCUCUGUGAUAUAUCUGUCUCUGUCUCAUAUCUGUGAUAGUUGUUCCCAUUAUAUAGGGAGGCAUAGAGAUGCACUGCCGUAAGGACAUAUCUGACAGUGAUUCUGGAAGCCACAAACAUGUAUCUUUAUCCUCACAGACCUGGUAUAAAUUCCAGUGUGGUUAGAACUGCAUGUGAUGCCAGAAGUUAGCCUAAUUAGCACAGAAACAACCAGCUAAGGAAGGAACUCGUUACCAGCUUUGAACAUAAGGAAUUUGAGCAUGCAGAAAGCCAGUUGCUUGGAGAUGUUUAUCUUUGGCCCUUCUACAUCCAGACUAGCAGUCAGCUGUGACAUAACCAUGACUGGGAGGACUUGCGAUGAACUUCUGAGGAAGCUGCUGCUCAGGACAUGAAAGGUUAUCAGAGAUGCUUAAACUGGUUAACCUGGUUCACUGAUGAAAUGGGACACAUGCCCUUUAUCUUCAUGUGACACUCAUUGAUAGUGACACGGUAAGAAAGCAAGCCAGAGGAGCAGUGCCUGUCCUACAAAAGAGGCUUUAGCAG